AAAGCAAGCUAACGCUUGAAUACAUUAGCAUGGAAUAAUGAAAUAGGACGUUCGAUCCUAUUUUGUUGGUUUCUAGGAUUGACGUAAUGAUUAAUAGGGAUAGUUGGGGGCAUUAGUAUUCAAUUGUCAGAGGUGAAAUUCUUGGAUUUAUUGAAGACUAACUACUGCGAAAGCAUUUGCCAAGGAUGUUUUCAUUAAUCAAGAACGAAAGUUAGGGGGAUCGAAGACGAUCAGAUACCGUCGUAGUCUUAACCAUAAACUAUGCCGGACUAGGGAUCGGAUGAUGUUAAUUUUUUAAUGACUCAUUCGGCGCCUUACG
rnacentral:rRNA from 1 species